rnacentral:lncRNA from 1 species
CUUGGAUAGUAUGAUUCCAAUAGCACGAUUUCGGCAUAAAUAGCACGAGCAAAUUCAAAACAGAAGAUUUAAAUGUUCAGAAGCAACGUAAUUCCAAAACAUUGGCCCCUCACACUCCAUUACUUACACAGCAAUUUAUAAUUACAUCCUAGUAAAAAAAAAAUAGACAAUUAUCCUUCUGGGCUGUGGUCUCCUGGCAUCAUCUUCGAUUGGAGAAAGGUAAGCUGCCAAAAUUAACAUAAGCAUACAGUCAAAAAGAUCUGAGACUAUAGCCUACUAAGACAAUAUUUUUUUUUGUGUAA